rnacentral:rRNA from 1 species
AGGGAAUAUUGGUAAUGUGCGAAAGCGCGAACCAGCAACGCCGCGUGCACGAUGAAGGCCUUCGGGUUGUAAAGUGCUUUUAGAGAGGAUGAGGAAGGACAGUACUUUCUGAAUAAGCCUCGGCUAACUACGUGCCAGCAGCCGCGGUAAUACGUAGGGGGCAAGCGUUGUCCGGAUUUACUGGGUGUAAAGGGUGCUCAGGCGGAUUUGUAAGUCAGAGGUGAAAUCUUACAGCUUAACUGUGAAACUGCCUUUGAUACUGCAAGCCUAGAGUAUGGAAGAGAGUGAUGGAAUAUCUGGUGUAGCAGUGAAAUGCGUAGAUAUCAGAUAGAACACCAAUGGCGAAGGCAGUCACUUGGUCCAUUACUGACGCUAAAGCACGAAAGCGUGGGUAGCAAACA